AAAUCGGUUUUCCAUUACAAUAUUGCACAUAAUUCUCUCAUAUCAUUUGGUGUUUCACCUAAACGUUCCUUAAGAUAUUUGGAUUUCCACCUACUUACUCAGUGUUACUUUUGUUAAGAGAUAUUUUGUCUAUACAUAGUAACAGUUGGUGGAAUUUGAUUGGAUUAUUUCUUUACAAAUUAGAUGACUGUUUAAGACGGGGAAAAUACUGCGUCUAGGCACAUGGCAAAAAGACCAAAAACUGAUGCAAAAGAUGUUCAAGACCCGAAAAGAACAACAAAUGCCACCACGUCGGAACUCAUAAUUGGCAUAAUAGGAGCUGCUACACGAACACCAGACAUGAAUAAAGUUGACAUUAGCGAUGAUAUUUCCGAAAUAACACCAGGAUCAAAGCUUCUUUCUGACUCCGAUGUCCCUCCAAGACUUGAAAAAGUUAAAAAGAAAAUGAAAAGGCACACGAAAGAAGAACAUUCAAAGAAACAUCCAGCAGAUGAUGAAAUGUCUAAGAAAAAAGACGUUAAAAGUGACGACAGAGAUACCGAUGUUGAAGCUAAAAGCUGACAGAAUAAUAAAUGCUCCAUAGUAUCAAACCUUUAUAUUAACUAUGAUCUCAAUUAGGUGAUUAUAUUUAUGUAUCAUAGUGACUGAAGCUGACUAAGAUAAAAAAGGACAAAUAUCUUGCUGCUUCAAGCCAUUUGCAUACAACAUAUUGACCACAUCACGUUACAUUUCACUUAAGUAAAUGCAAUGUGUAUUACAUAUAUCUGAUAGGUUCUUACUUGAACAAUAAUAACAUUGUUAUUAGUUUCAGUUACAAAUCUUAUCAAAUUCAAUUCCAAUGCAUUUUAUAUAUUUUUAAUAAUAGUUUACCUCAAUACAGGUAUUAGAUUUUGGCAGAACGGACAUUAAAAUAUAUUCUAGGGAAUUAUAAAUCCCAAAGGAAUUGAACCUUAUCGUAUACACUACGUUGUUCAUGAUUCUGACACAUUUGUUCAUACUCCAUGUGUUUAUUUGUCAUUUUUGUGACUAAAGGGAGACAAUAAUUUUAGCCGAAAAUGAACUGGUAUAUGACUAUAUUUCACUUUAUAUGUUUAAAAAAGCCACUUUUUAGUGGUAGUACACGUCUAUGCUAUGUUUAUCUAUACAUGUACACCGUGUGUGCUAUUCUGAACCUACUGCAUAGUACAGGUAAUACUCAUAAACUUGUUAAUUUUAUGUUUACACAAAGUAUAUGAAGUAUCUGUUUAUGUUUUAUAUGUGUAAUUUGGAUCAUAUAUACCUUUGAAUGUUAUAUGUUGCAAAAAGUUUUUCAUUGUUUGCAGUAAUACUAUUUUGAACAAUUGAGAUGAAGUACGAGCAUUUAAAUAUGUUUCAAGAAUAGUUUACCAUUCGAAGAAUUAAUGCUUGAUAUAUCUGUUAGAAGAUACAUAAUACAACAAAGAUUAGAUAUUAUUUGUAAUUUCGGAAACAUGUAUAAUGCUCAAUAGUCUACUAAAUACUGCAAUAGCUGAUUGCAGCAGUUAAAGCGCGGACAGUAUGAACUAAAAGAUCAUAUGACAUUGCCAGCCAUCGAGUGUAGCAGUUCUUGUAGAGGAUAGAAAAUACGUAUAUUAUUAUAUGUAAUAUGCAGUUCGAUAUUGCACAUUUUUUAUUACAUAACAUUUUGUGAAUUGAUUACACACAGGUCUAUAAAAACAGAGACAUGAAAAAUACGAAAUAAGCUAGCUUUGAACUUUUAAUUGUACACACCUCAUUGUUAUAAAUAUACCAGAUGUAUCAAGAUUUUUAUGUGAUGCAGUUGUGUAUGGUCACAGGAAAUAAAGGAGCUGUCCUUUAUUUUCAAAUGCUCUGAAACAUAGAAAUACACGACAGUACAAGAAAAAUAUAAAAAAAUAUUCGAAUAAAGCUAUAUAUAUAGUGUAUUUGUUUAAACAUAAUUAUCUAAGAAUUUAUAUGAAGACAUUACUGUUAAAUCGGUAUGAAUUAUAAAAAUGUAGUUUUUCAAAAGAAAUUUAUUAUGUAAAUUAUCAAAUUUAGUUUCCAGCUAUAGUGUUGCUUAUAAGAUUUUGACUUGAAAUGCAUGCCAUAGUUAUUCAUUAAAAACUACAAUUCAAAAGCGGUGAAAAUUAUAAAAAUGUAUCAAUUUCUAUAAAAUCUUUGCUGGAUAAAAGAGAUAAUAUUUUGCAUCCACGAUAACAAGAUAUAGUUAGAGUACUUAAUGAUAAAAUUGAGUUUUAUUACUUUUACUGUUUUUUACCUAAUGUCUGUGAUAUACUAUGUAAAACUGCAUAUAUGCCGAAAUGAAUUAUUAUUAUGUUAUAACUGUAAAUCAUACAGAUAAGACAGUUAAGUAGUACUAACUGAUAUUUCUAAAUACAAGUUAUUAAAAAUAGAGAGAUUGGCUUACAGAAAUCAAUGUAUUAUUUGACAGAAAUCAAAUAUUAAACGCUCGUUUUAACCUAAAAGUAGCAAUAAAAAGGAGAUAUUUAGUAUGUUUUAGAAAGAAUUCGUUAUUGAUUUCAAUGUGUUUGUAUUUGCAGUAAUAUCUGAUUUUGACGGGAAUGGUUUUCUCAUUCGUAAUAAGGAGUAAUCAAUCUUAAGAUAUGUUAUUAAAUACCAAUUCCCAGACGGUUAUCUUUCUAACUGCAAUUUUGUAGACGUUUUACCUCUGUGUUACUGCUAACGUUUACAUUUAGGACGGUCAAAGGGAAGCAACACUAAUAGAAAUUUAAAUACCAUUAUAUUUGCUAAUGUUUCUCAAUUCUACGUACAUGAUUGCAUUACUUAUUGGAAUAUCUAUAUUCAUAUUUCUGUGAAAAUGUUUAACAUAAUCAUCGGUUGAUUGUAAAUGUCAUUUUAUAUUUAAAAACGCGCACUUCACAUUGACCGUAAUGGUAUCGCAUAUAUUUGUAAAUGUUCAUGUUUGAAUACUAAAGUCGGAAUAUCCCUGCCUAAUUAUUUUCAUCAAGUUGUCAUUUUGUGUUGCUAGGGAAUGAAAAUGAUGUCAAAGCAGUUGUUAUAAUUCUUUUUAUAAGAUUAUAUUUUAUUUAAAGUUUAUAAAAUAUUUUCUGCCAAAUCCAAAUGAUUUCGAACAGAAAGGUUCCUUCAUAUUUUGAUAUUGCUUCCGUGGAGUGUAACAGAUCUCGUAGAGAAAACCUUAGGCUUAAAAUAUUUGAUGUAUCAUUUACAAAAUGAGUUCGUUUUAAAGGAAUGUAGAAUAAUCGGUCUUUACUUGUUAUUCUAAAUUUUAUAUAGUCCAAUAAUUUUUAUAUAUGAUGUCUUUCAAUUUACUAUUUUUUACCCAGUCACAAUAUUAACAUAUAAUUUACCCUGUAUUAAGUUGUCAUUUCUUCAUUUUUUGAUAAUUUAUUUAGCAUAAUUACAUAUAACUGUGAAAUACCAGUUGGAGCAAUUAUACAUAUGCAUUUACUGUAGUUUACACAGCAUCACUAAUUUUCUGUGCAAUUACAGGUUGCUGUAUUUUAUUUCAUAGAUAAAUAAAGAAGUUUUGAUAGUAUAUUGAAAUUUACUCUAGUCAUAGAUGGUUUGUAAUUGGAAAAUAACUUUUCUUUUUAAAUAUUUCGAAGUUUUUUGUCUUAUAUAUUUCAACGACAUACAUUUAUGAAACUGUUGAUGCCAAAGCAAAGCAUGGAGCUUCAAUUAUGCAAAUAAUAUUAUUUAAUAUUUUCGUGACGUCAGUGAUAAAUGUAAAAUAAUUACUGUAGUAAUUUGUAUCGUUAUUAUUACUUAUUGUUACAGUUAUAAUGAUAAUGAUGAUAAUGUUGCUGUUGAUGAUGAUAAUGAUGAUGGUUAUGAUAAUAAUGAUAAUUAUAAACUAAUGAUACUAACAAUUAUGAAAAUAAUGAUAGAAAUGGUAAGUGUAAUUAGUUACAGUUCUUAAUAUUAAACCUAUUGAAUUGCAUUUA